rnacentral:rRNA from 1 species
AUUGAACGCUGGCGGCAUGCCUUACACAUGCAAGUCGAACGGCAGCACGGGAGCAAUCCUGGUGGCGAGUGGCGAACGGGUGAGUAAAGUAUCGGAACGUGCCCAGUCGUGGGGGAUAACGUAGCGAAAGUUACGCUAAUACCGCAUACGAUCUAUGGAUGAAAGCGGGGGAUCGCAAGAUCUCGCGCGAUUGGAGCGGCCGAUAUCAGAUGAGGUAGUUGGUGGGGUAAAGGCUCACCAAGCCGACGAUCUGUACCUGGUCUGAGAGGACGACCAGCCACACUGGGACUGAGACACGGCCCAAACUCCUACGGGAGGCAGCAGUGGGGAAUUUUGGACAAUGGGCGAAAGCCUGAUCCAGCCAUGCCGCGUGCAGGAUGAAGGCCUUCGGGUUGUAAACUGCUUUUGUACGGAACGAAAAGGUUUGGCCUAAUAAGCUGAGCUCAUGACGGUACCGUAAGAAUAAGCACCGGCUAACUUCGUGCCAGCCGCCGCAGUAA